GAUGAACGCUGGCGGCGUGCCUAACACAUGCAAGUCGAACGAAACUUCUUUAUUACCGAGUGCUUGCACUCACCGAUAAAGGGUUGAGUGGCGAACGGGUGAGUAUCACGUUGGCAAUAUGCCCGAGAGAGGGGGAUAACACUCGGAAACAGGUGCUAAUACCGCAUAACCAUAGUUAGCGCAUGGGAACUAUGUAAAAGUUGGCUAUACUACCCCUGUUGGUGGGGCACGCGCCGCAGUAGCCAGCUGGGAGGGUAAAGGCUUACCGAGGGAAUGAUGCGUAGCCGAAUUGAGAGGGUGAGCGGGCACAAUGGGGUUGAGAGACGGCCCAAGACCCUGCGGGAGGCAGGAGUAGGGCGGCUGGCACAAGGGGCGAAAGCCUGACGGAGGGACGCCGCGUGGGGGAAGGAGGUCGUCGGAUCGUAGAACCCUGUUGUUAGAGAAGAAAGUGCGUCUGAGUAACUGGUCAUGUUUCGACGGUACCAAACCAGAAGGCCACGGCUACCUACGG
rnacentral:rRNA from 1 species